GGCGAUUCUGUUGAUGAAGCAGUCAAUGAAGAAAGACAUGGUUGAGUCAGUCGAAGAAGCAAAUGCUCUCGCCUUAGGGGAGCAUACACACAUACUGCCAAUUAGAGAGACCUGACCUACAUUCAUUAAUCAUCUCCUAGGAAUUUCCCUUCUCAAGGUAGGUCAAAAGAGCAAGCCGAGGAAAGGAAGACUCUCUCGAAAGGUGUCUGCUCGUGGAAUAGAAAGAG
rnacentral:lncRNA from 1 species